rnacentral:lncRNA from 1 species
AUGACUAACCCACUCUACCCAGCAUCAUCUCUGGCUCCAGAUGGCAAGAAAUACAUUCAUUUUGCCCUUGCUGAAAAGCAGAGGAAUGCUAAUGUUGAAUUCUUUUCCCUGUAUCUAAUUCCACCUGCACUGACUAGCUUCAAUUCCAAAAAGCAGAGCAGAAGAAGAGGAGAAAUGGAAAGACGAACCCAAAGGGGGGAUUUAGUUGGAAAAAGAAGAAAGAGGGAAUGGGAUGGGGAGACACACUGCAGCUUUAAAUCUUGCUGCAUCAAGCCCUGGAUUCUUUCCAUCACCCAGCAAAAUGAUAACAAGAAGGGAGGCAAAAAAAAAAAAUCUCUCCCCCCCUGCCGGCCAACCUUCGGGCAGCUCCAGAGUGAAUCACGCAGCAGUAAACCCAUCCCCCAUAUCCCCACCCCCGCCCAAUCGGCAGGUUACACAGGUGAGUGGUGCACCGACCUUGGCCCGGAGGCUCUGCCCAGACAUACUGGGCUCAAGGUCAAGGGGGACGGCUUCCCGGUCCGUCCGGAGCCCGGAAUUCUGCUGCCAAAGUUUCGGGCAAGGCAAAGGGCCUUCAAGGUAACAUAAACAUAACUGAUGUGCCAACACAGAGAAAGUAUUUGAAAGUCACCUUCCACUGGUACCUGCACUGCAUACAGCCUGCCCGGGACCACAGGUACACUUGGCUUCUCCCAGUGCACAUGGCUAGCCAGGCCUGCUGGGGAUUCCACUGGAAUGAGCGGACGGCUGACAGGUGUUCUAACACCACAAAUAAUGUCAACUUCUGUAUGUCCCAGAUCCAAACAGCAUUGGGAAUGUUAUCGUUUCUUGUUGCCAGGAAGCAAUUGUCUGGGCUAAAUGCUAAGGUUCCUCUACCAAUUUUGGGAUUGGGUCGAUCAGUGACUGGUUUUGAUGUUUGUAAAGAAACUGGUGGGUGGGAAUGGAAGAGUCUCCAUUUCUAAAUUUUGAGACUUUUCUGUUUCCUUAUAGACAACUAUCUUGGGGUUAUCAAUGGUUGUAGUGGCUCCAAAGUCUAGAAUCGGCACCUUUUCCUCAUAGCUGCCGAUGGCCAAAACCUGGCUGCUGGGGCUCCAGACUUGGUCUUGAUACCUAGAGACCACUCAUACGCAGAGUAUGUCGACAACCACCGGCCAUCCAGGGAAUACAGCAAAAUGUUAUACUCCAGACAACUGUCCCAAGCUGCCAACACAUCCAUUUGGAGCCCAUUCAGUCCCAGCAAGGUCUUGGUUGUCCGUGUCAAAAUGCUUGCUGACAGACUUUUGGAUAUUUGAUAUAGGAUACAGAUUUUGUACACAAGGACCAGACUCUUAUCCGCAGCAGGAAUUUUCCAUGAGGAGAGAAUUUGCUGAGCUGAUUUGAGAGCUUAAACGAUUAAGAGAAAUUCAUAAGUGAUGCAAGUGGUGGAGCUGGCCAAUAAACUAUGAUGCUAAGGGCCCA